CGUGGCUUCCGGAGCUAACGCGUUAAGUCGCGCCUGGGGAGUACGGCCGCAAGGUUAAAACUCAAAUGAAUUGACGGGGGCCCGCACAAGCGGUGGAGCAUGUGGUUUAAUUCGAUGCAACGCGAAGAACCUUACCUGGCCUUGACAUCCAGAGAACUUAGCAGAGAUGCUUUGGUGCCUUCGGGAACUCUGAGACAGGUGCUGCAUGGCUGUCGUCAGCUCGUGUUGUGAAAUGUUGGGUUAAGUCCCGCAACGAGCGCAACCCUUAUCCUUUGUUGCCAGCGGUUCGGCCGGGAACUCAAAGGAGACUGCCGGUGAUAAACCGGAGGAAGGUGGGGAUGACGUCAAGUAUCAUGGCCCUUACGGCCAGGGCUACACACGUGCUACAAUGGCGCAUACAAAGAGAAGCGACCUCGCGAGAGCAAGCGGACCUCAUAAAGUGCGUCGUAGUCCGGAUUGGAGUCUGCAACUCGACUCCAUGAAGUCGGAAUCGCUAGUAAUCGUAGAUCAGAAUGCUACGGUGAAUACGUUCCCGGGCCUUGUACACACCGCCCGUCACACCAUGGGAGUGGGUUGCAAAAGAAGUAGGUAGCUUAACCUUCGGGAGGGCGCUUACCACUUUGUGAUUCAUGACUGGGGUGAAGUCGUAACAAGGUAACCGUAGGGGAACCUGCGGUUGGAUCACCUCCUUA
rnacentral:ncRNA from 1 species